rnacentral:misc_RNA from 1 species
AAGUCGUAACAAGGUUUCCGUAGGUGAACCUGCGGAAGGAUCAUUAAUGAAAUGAUGAUUUUUUGGGGUUUUCCCUGAAAAAUAAUUCACCUUUUGUGCACCGUUAUAAGAUAUACUUUGGUUAGAGCUUUGAUUUCAUUUAAUGGAAUCAACUUCUUGCUGACUCUAUCCUGUUAAGGACAGUUGGCUAUGAAGCGGCCUACCAAGGGUUUUUAUCAAACACAUUUAAUUCAUCUGACCUAAAUCAUUAUAAUAAAAUCACAACUUUCAACAACGGAUCUCUUGGCUCUC